GGCCCCUAAGAAAACAUUUGUUGUGAAUCUCCAGUCCUUUCCCUCAGAGCAACCCCAGAAGUCCACUUCCUUAAUGGCCAGGCCCCUGCAGCCACCUCUGGACACCCAGGACAUCCUGGAGACCAGUGCUCAGAAUGACAAGCACGGUCUCCUCAGCCGACCAGACAAGCUUCCACAUACGCAGUGACUUGUAAUCAGCAGAGACUCAAGAACU
rnacentral:lncRNA from 1 species